GGUUGGGGCAAGUAUGGACACAACAUUCAAGCUGGAUUCAGCUCUAAAUUUGGAUUGUGAUUAAAUAGUUGACACAGCAUAGGUUUCUGACACAGAAUGAAUGUGGUCUAAUGAACUUAAUUUUUUUUUUUGCCUUUGAUCAAUUCACUAUGCUGUUGAAUAUUAAUCCUCUCAAAAAAAUGUUUGAAGAAAUUUUCUUUUUAUUUAUGAAAUCUGAAA
rnacentral:lncRNA from 1 species